rnacentral:rRNA from 1 species
UAUCAAUUUAUUGUAAGCUUUUCCUGCUCAAUGAGUUAAUUUAAUAGCCGCAGUACUUUGACUGUGCUAAGGUAGCAUAAUCAUUUGGUCUUUAAUUGGGAUCUAGUAUGAAAGGAUUUACUAGGGAGGUUCUGUCUCAUCAUUAAUGUUUUUAACUUACUUAAAAGGUGAAAAUUCCUUUGAUUAACCAAAAGACGAGAAGACCCUUAGACUUUUUGAUACAUUUAAAUAUUUAAUUUCUCUUUUGUUGGGGCGACACAGAUUCAAUACUUUAACAUACUGAAAUCUUAGUAUAUAAAUCUAAUCUUUUAAUAAUAAAUAAAGUACCUGAGGGAUAACAGCAUUAUUAAAUUUUUAGAUUGUGACCUCGAUGUUGGAUUAGGAAAAGAUUUUUCAGAUAAAAAUUUAAAAGGUUCUGUUCGAACUUAAUCUCCU